GCCUGGCUGGCUCAGUCAGUGGAGCGUGCUGACUCUUGAUCUCCAGGUUGUGAGUUCGAGCCCCAUGCUGGGUG
rnacentral:tRNA from 1 species